rnacentral:rRNA from 1 species
GAUGAACGCUGGCGGCGUGCCUAAUACAUGCAAGUCGAGCGAACGGACGAGAAGCUUGCUUCUCUGAUGUUAGCGGCGGACGGGUGAGUAACACGUGGAUAACCUACCUAUAAGACUGGGAUAACUUCGGGAAACCGGAUCUAAUACCGGAUAAUAUUUUGAACCGCAUGGUUCAAAAGUGAAAGACGGUCUUGCUGUCACUUAUAGAUGGAUCCGCGCUGCAUUAGCUAGUUGGUAAGGUAACGGCUUACCAAGGCAACGAUGCAUAGCCGACCUGAGAGGGUGAUCAGCCACACUGGAACUGAGACACGGUCCAGACUCCUACGGGAGGCAGCAGUAGGGAAUCUUGCGCAAUGGGCGAAAGCCUGACGGAGCAACGCCGCGUGAGUGAUGAAGGUCUUCGGAUCGUAAAACUCUGUUAUUAGGGAAGAACAUAUGUGUAAGUAACUGUGCACAUCUUGACGGUACCUAAUCAGAAAGCCACGGCUAACUACGUG